CAGCAAUGCAGAACUAUAUUACAAAACAGGAAUAUCCGUCCACUUUUAAUAUCCUGGACAUUUUUCAGCAUUUAACAAAAUGAGAAGCAUUGAAACAAAGAUGUAGUAUUUCUUUUAUUGUAAUAAGGUUAGGCAUUAAGUUUUGGUGAUAAUUUCUACCUAAUGUAUCUCAUUACUGAAAUAAGUCGUCAAUAUUUCUAGGGGGUCA